UACAGAGGGUGCAAGCGUUAAUCGGAAUUACUGGGCGUAAAGCGCACGUAGGCGGUUUUUUAAGUCAGAUGUGAAAGCCCCGGGCUCAACCUGGGAAUUGCAUUUGAAACUGGCCAACUAGAGUAUGUGAGAGGGGGGUAGAAUUCCAAGUGUAGCGGUGAAAUGCGUAGAGAUUUGGAGGAAUACCAGUGGCGAAGGCGGCCCCCUGGCACAAUACUGACGCUCAGGUGCGAAAGCGUGGGGAGCAAACAGG
rnacentral:rRNA from 1 species